rnacentral:rRNA from 1 species
CGACGAGUGGCGGACGGGUGAGUAAUACUUAGGAAUCUGCCCAGUAGUGGGGGACAACAUUCGGAAACGGAUGCUAAUACCGCAUACGCCCUACGGGGGAAAGCGGGGGAUCUUCGGACCUCGCGCUAUUGGAUGAGCCUAAGUCGGAUUAGCUUGUAGGUAGGGUAAUGGCCUACCUAGGCGACGAUCCGUAGCUGGUCUGAGAGGACGAUCAGCCACACUGGGACUGAGACACGGCCCAGACUCCUACGGGAGGCAGCAGUGGGGAAUAUUGGACAAUGGGCGCAAGCCUGAUCCAGCAAUGCCGCGUGUGUGAAGAAGGCCUGCGGGUUGUAAAGCACUUUCAGUAGAGAAGAAAAGCCUAGGGUUAAUACCCCUGAGUCUUGACGUAACCUACAGAAGAAGCACCGGCUAACUCCGUGCCAGCAGCCGCGGUAAUACGGAGGGUGCGAGCGUUAAUCGGAAUUACUGGGCGUAAAGCGCGCGUAGGCGGUUUUGUCAGUCGGAUGUGAAAGCCCCGGGCUUAACCUGGGAAUUGCAUUCGAUACUGCAUAACUAGAGUACGGUAGA